CCCUUAGAUGUCCGGGGCCGCACGCGCGCUACAAUGGAUGAAUCAACGCGUCAUCCUGGCCCGAAAGGGUUGGGGAACCGCUGAACCUCAUCCGUGGUUGGGAUUGGGGUUUGUAAUUAUUCCCCAUGAACUAGGAAUUCCCAGUAAGCGCGAGUCAUAAGCUCGCGUUGAUUACGUCCCUGCCCUUUGUACACACCGCCCGUCGCUACUACCGAUUGGAUGGUUUAGUGGGAUCCUCGGAUUGGUCACGGCACGGUGGCAACACUGCGUCGGUGUGCCGAGAAGACGAUCAAACUUGAUCAUCUAGAGGAAGUAAAAGUCGUAACA
rnacentral:rRNA from 1 species